GACGAACGCUGGCGGCGUGCUUAACACAUGCAAGUCGAACGGAAAGGCCAUGCUUUUGUGGGGUGCUCGAGUGGCGAACGGGUGAGUAACACGUGAGUAACCUGCCCUUGACUUUGGGAUAACUUCAGGAAGCUGCGGCUAAUACCGGAUAGGAGCUCCUGCUGCAUGGUGGGGGUUGGAAAGUUUCGGCGGUUGGGGAUGGACUCGCGGCUUAUCAGCUUGUUGGUGGGGUAGUGGCUUACCAAGGCUUUGACGGGUAGCCGGCCUGAGAGGGUGACCGGCCACAUUGGGACUGAGAUACGGCCCAGACUCCUACGGGAGGCAGCAGUGGGGAAUAUUGCACAAUGGGCGGAAGCCUGAUGCAGCAACGCCGCGUGCGGGAUGACGGCCUUCGGGUUGUAAACCGCUUUCGCCUGUGACGAAGCGUGAUUGACGGUAAUGGGUAAAGAAGCACCGGCUAACUACGUG
rnacentral:rRNA from 1 species